rnacentral:lncRNA from 1 species
CCCCAUAAGGAACGAAUUCGUUCCCUAAGUUUUUCCCAAUCCUCGUUCUGCCGGGAGGAAGUGAUGUUCAAUUCAGCCGCAACGUCGUCAUCAUCAACCUCCAACUUCUUGUACUGUUCGACCAAGGAUUUAGUUCGCUCAAUCCCCUGAGAGGCGUUGCGCUUUUUAGCAGCCAUCCUCGCCCUGCAAUCGUCCAUUUUGGCUUGAAGUUCCCUCAUCUGAGCAGCCAAGUUAACCAUCAAAGAGUCUUCAAUCAUGACUUCGGAAGAGAUUUCUUU